CGCGGAGUGGAGCAGUUGGUAGCUCGCCAGGCUCAUAACCUGGAGGUCAUAGGUUCGAGUCCUGUCUCCGCAAC
rnacentral:tRNA from 1 species